rnacentral:rRNA from 1 species
UACGUAGGGGGCAAGCGUUGUCCGGAUUUAUUGGGCGUAAAGCGCGCGUAGGCGGCGCGGUAUGUCGUGCGUGAAAUCUCCCGGCUUAACUGGGAGGGGCCGUGCGAAACUGCCGGGCUUGAGGUCGGAAGGGGAAAGUGGAAUUCCGGGUGUAGUGGUGGAAUACGUAGAUAUCCGGAGGAACACCAGCGGCGAAGGCGGCUUUCUGGUCCGAUACUGACGCUGAGGUGCGAAAGCGUGGGGAGCGAACAGG